AUGCCCCCUCCCCCCCAAAUGAGCUGUUUGUGGCUCUGUCCCACCCCCAGCCCAGUUAGGCAGGGCCUGUUGGCAUCCCCAUCACUUUGGUGGCUGGGGUGGCCACUCUGCUCAACCACCCCUUGCUACAGCACUGGAGGUGACCCUAGUUUUGGAGAGAGAAAAAGAAAGGUGACCCUAGUGUUAUAGAGAGAGAAAGAGAGAGAGGUGGCCGUCCUAUUAGAGAGAGAGGUAACCCCAGUGUUAGAAAGAGAGGUGACCCGAGUGUUAGAGAUAAUGAGAGAGAGAGAGGUAACCCUAGUGUUAUAGAAAGAGAGAGGUGGCCCUAGCAUGAGAGACAGAGAGAGGUGACCCUAGUGUCAGAGACAGGGUGGGGAGAAAACUCACUUGGUCCAGUUCAUUCCCUCAUCUUUUGUACAGAGCAUAAUUACGUAUGAAACUGAUGCUCCAGUUCAUCUGAGUCCAAAAGCCAAGAACUAGGCAGCCCUGGGCCAAAUCCAGUGCAGAUAAAACUCAGCUAGAAUAGCAUUUCCAUCAGGAAGGAAUUUAGCCCUCCUCCUAAGUAUGUUUUGGGUCCUCGUCAAAUGUAGUCUGGGAGAUGAAGCGGGGGAAGAGAACAACGCAAACACCUUGUGAGUGAUGCAUACUUUUGGGUUAAGAAGAAGAAAACCUUGUGAAACUUGCCAAACCUCUAACCUGUUUCUCAGUCCACCUCACAGUGCUCAAAAGCUUUCUCCUGCUAUUCUUAAGAGGAAUGCAGUGCUCUGGCUGUGAUGAUCUGAUGAAAAAAUAAAAUACGAUUUUACAAC